ensembl:lncRNA
GAGAGAAAGCGUGUGUAUGAGAGAAAGCGUGUGUUUGUAUGAGAGAAAGCGUGUGUAUGAGAGAAAGCGUGUGUUUGUGUGAGAAAGCGUGCAUGCGUUUGUGUGAGAGAAAGCGUGCGUCUGUUUGUGUGAGAGAAAGCGUGCGUGUGUAUGUGUGAGAGAAAGCGUGCGUGUGUUUGUGUGAGAGAAAGCGUGCGUCUGUUUGUGUGAGAGAAAGUGUGCAUGUGUUUGUAUGAUAGAAAGCGUGCGUCUGUUUGUGUGAGAGAAAGUGUGCAUGUGUUUGUAUGAUAGAAAGCGUGCGUGUGUUUUGUGAGAGAAAGCGUGCGUGUGUUUUCUGUGAGAGAAAGCGUGCGUGUGUUUGUAUGAGAGAAAACGUGCGUGUGUUUGUGUGAGAGAAAGCGUGCGUGUGUUUGUGUGAGAGAAAGCGUGCGUGUGUUUGUAUGAGAGAAAGCGUGCGUGUGUGUGUGUGAGAGAAAGUGUGCGUGUGUUUGUAUGAGAGAAAGCGUGCGUGUGUUUGUGUGAGAGAAAGUGUGUGUAUGAGAAAGCGUGCGUGUGUUUGUGUGAGAGAAAGUGUGCGUGUGUUUGUAUGAGAGAAAGUGUGUGUAUGAGAGAAAGCGUGCGUGUGUUUGUAUGAGAGAAAGCGUGCGUGUGUUUGUAUGAGAGAAAGCGUGCGUGUGUUUGUGUGAGAGAAAGUGUGUGUAUGAGAGAAAACGUGCGUGUGUUUGUAUGAGAGAAAGUGUGUGUGUGAGAGAAAGUGUGCGUGUGUUUGUAUGAGAGAAAGCGUGCGUGUGUUUGUGUGAGAGAAAGUGUGUGUGUGAGAGAAAGUGUGCGUGUGUUUGUGUGAGAGAAAGUGUGCGUGUGUUUGUGUGAGAGAAAGUGUGUGUGUGUUUGUGUGAGAGAAAGUGUGUGUGUGAGAGAAAGCGUGCGUGUGUUUGUAUGAGAGAAAGCGUGCGUGUGUUUGUAUGAGAGAAAGUGUGUGUAUGAGAG